UACGUAGGGUGCAAGCGUUGUCCGGAAUUAUUGGGCGUAAAGGGCUCGUAGGCGGUCUGUCACGUCGGGAGUGAAAACUCAGGGCUUAACCCUGAGCCUGCUUCCGAUACGGGCAGACUAGAGGUAUGCAGGGGGAGAACGGAAUUCCUGGUGUAGCGGUGAAAUGCGCAGAUAUCAGGAGGAACACCGGUGGCGAAGGCGGUUCUCUGGACCGAGACUGACGCUGAGGCGCGAAAGCGUGGGGAGCAAACAGG
rnacentral:rRNA from 1 species